rnacentral:rRNA from 1 species
GAUUAAGUUAUUAAGGGCGCACGGUGGAUGCCUUGGCACUAGAAGCCGAUGAAGGACGUUACUAACGACGAUAUGCUUUGGGGAGCUGUAAGUAAGCUUUGAUCCAGAGAUUUCCGAAUGGGGAAACCCAGCAUGAGUUAUGUCAUGUUAUCGAUAUGUGAAUACAUAGCAUAUCAGAAGGCACACCCGGAGAACUGAAACAUCUUAGUACCCGGAGGAAGAGAAAGAAAAUUCGAUUCCCUUAGUAGCGGCGAGCGAAACGGGAAGAGCCCAAACCAACAAGCUUGCUUGUUGGGGUUGUAGGACACUCUAUACGGAGUUACAAAGGACGACAUUAGACGAAUCAUCUGGAAAGAUGAAUCAAAGAAGGUAAUAAUCCUGUAGUCGAAAAUGUUGUCUCUCUUGAGUGGAUCCUGAGUACGACGGAGCACGUGAAAUUCCGUCGGAAUCUGGGAGGACCAUCUCCUAAGGCUAAAUACUCUCUAGUGACCGAUAGUGAACCAGUACCGUGAGGGAAAGGUGAAAAGCACCCCGGAAGGGGAGUGAAAUAGAACCUGAAACCGUGUGCUUACAAGUAGUCAGAGCCCGUUAAUGGGUGAUGGCGUGCCUUUUGUAGAAUGAACCGGCGAGUUACGAUUUGAUGCAAGGUUAAGCAGUAAAUGUGGAGCCGUAG